rnacentral:rRNA from 1 species
UAAAAAACCAAUGCUCUUUCGGGGCUCCUUGGUGAUUCAUAAUAACUUAACGAAUCGCAUGGCCUUGUGCCGGCGAUGGUUCAUUCAAAUUUCUUGCCCUAUCAACUUUCGAUGGUAGGAUAGUGGCCUACCAUGGUUUCAACGGGUAACGGGGAAUUAGGGUUCUAUUCCGGAGAGGGAGCCUGAGAAACGGCUACCACAUCCAAGGAAGGCAGCAGGCGCGCAAAUUACCCAAUCCCGACACGGGGAGGUAGUGACAAUAAAUACUGAUACAGGGCUCUUUUGAGUCUUGUAAUUGGAAUGAGUACAAUUUAAAUCCCUUAACGAGGAACAAUUGGAGGGCAAGUCUGGUGCCAGCAGCCGCGGUAAUUCCAGCUCCAAUAGCGUAUAUUAAAGUUGUUGCAGUUAAAAAGCUCGUAGUUGAACCUUGGGCCUGGCUGGCCGGUCCGCCUCACCGCGUGCACUGAUYCGGCCGGGCCUUUCCUCCUGGGGGARCCGCAUGCCCUUCACUGGGAAUCCCGCSGCCAUKNCGGCC